AUAAAAGCAGGCUGCCCCCAAGCCAGCAGUAGCAAAGCUGUCCGUUUUGGUUUCUCACCGUGGAAGCUUUGUUCUUUUGGUCUUUUGUAAUAGGUCUUGCUGUUGCUCAGUGUUUGGGUCUACAUUACUUUUGGAGCUGUGGCACUCCGCGUGAAGGCUUGCAGCUUCACCCUUGAAGCCAGUGAGACCAUGAACCCACCAGGAGGAGUGAAGGCUGUCUUGUCUUAAGUAGUCCUACCGGCUGUAACGGUUGUUGUGAAAGUCUGUAUCCUCACUCGUGAGCCAGCAAGACCAUGAAUCAACUAGGAGGAAGAAACUCCGAACAUAUGCGAACAUCAGGAGGAACAAACUCUGGAUACGCUGCUUUUAAAAGUUGUAAUGCUCACUGAGCAGGUUUGCGGCUUCAUUCUUGAAGUCAGUGAGACCAAGAACCCACCAAUUCUGGACACAAAAUCUGUUUGCCUGUUUAGAGGCAUACUACGGGGUUACAUUAGAAGCCCACCGAGAUAAUCCAAUACAAUCUUCUGAUCUCAAAAUCCUUCACUUAAUGACAUCUUUGGCAACUUGAAAUAAUAAUCACAGGUGUCUGACUUUUAAGGUGAGAGAACUAAGUUGUGUGACUCCAAAAGAGCAGAAACCAGGAACUGGAGAAUGGAGGACCAAAGAUCAGAGAACAAACGGUAAAGAAGGAUGUGUUUGCUCCCACUUCCACCAUGAUUGUAAGUUUCCUGAGGCCUCCCAAGCCAUGAUGAACUAGACGGAGUCUCACUCUACCGCCCAGGCUAGAGUGCAGUGGUGCAAUCUCGGCUUACUGCAACCUCCGCCUCCCGGGUUCAAGAAUUCUCCUGCC
rnacentral:lncRNA from 1 species